CUGUGUUUUUCAGAUUUCUCUCUCACUGUUCCAAGCUUCCAGCCCCAGUAGAAAGUCGUAGUGUCCUAGAAUGGCAGCUGGCACUCAGUGUAAGCAGUACCCUCCUACAUUACUGAGUUUCUUCAUCUAUAAUCCAAAGUUUGGACCGAAGGAAGGAGAAG